UACACAUAAAGGCAAUCUUCAGUGUCGUCUGGAUGUGCCACGUCUCCAAACUCUUGUGGAAUUACUAAACCUGUGGGCUGAAUAUUGAGAGACAACUGUGCAAUAACACAGUCAGGUUGAGAAAUAGUAGAGCAAAACCAUUUCAAGUAUGUCAGGAAGCCCAGAGGCUUGGCAAGACUGGGAAGUAUUUAGAGUAAAAAGAAAUCAUAAUUAUGAUCCAUACGUACUGAUUUGGGUGUGGGUGUUAUCUGUGGGUCUCACUGGCCUGACAUCGGCCAAGAGUGGCCCAAAGCCUUCAUCUCCCAAGCACGUCAAAAUUCCCAGCCUGUGUUGUUCUUGGGAGGGAAGGUUUGGCUUUGAGCAGUUUUUCCUGAAAAUUCAAAAUAAUUCCUCUGAGUGGGCCCAGCUUCCAGGGGCGGCCUAGCCUGGGAGUUUGGCAUGCUUCCCUCAGCCUGUGUGUUAGUGUGCGGGUUUCUGGAGCCCGGAGGGGCAUUUGAAGGUCACGCAGCAGGGUAUCCAAACCUCUGAGCCUGAUUUACAGCUCAGGGCCUCAGGCCUCCUCCCUCCCAGCCCACAUCACCCCCCAGUUUCCUCUUCUGCGAGCCAGCACUCUUCAGAGCUGGGAAAUGAGAUCUAACCACUGGCUUUUUCUGGGCUUAUGUAUGGAUUCUUCCCUGCGAGGAUGGCAGAAAGUCACAGAAAUGGUUCCUGAAAAUGUGGGCAGGAGAGCGUCGUGGAUCCCUGAAGAAAAGCAGGGAAAUUGUUAAAAUGUCCAUUUUACAGAAGAGGAAUUCAUCCCGGGAUGCCUGAGCUGCCUUGAGUGGCACAUCUUGUUGAAGCAGCCCUUGGUUCAAGAUAGGUCAUUUGGAUUCUAGUGCCUGCUCUAUGAUACUCCUGAGCCUAGUGGGUUCUGGUUAUGAAGAACAUGAUGUUUUCAGAUUGAAGAGCAUUAAACACGAGACAUCAUCCUUCAUCUGAUGAAUACCGAACCAGAAUUCUCCAGUGCCAUACAGGGUUUAAGGAUAUUAUUUGGAUCUUGCUAUAAACCAAUACAGGCUUCACCUAGGACCUGAAUUAAGUCAUAUUCUACCUUCUCACUAUAUCAACAUGUCAGUGUCUUGUUUAUUUUUUAAGCAUCUCUCAAAGGCCACCCCCUCCAAGAGGAUUAAAUGAUUUAAUAUAUGAAUAACACUCAACCACACCUAGCACAUAUAUUUAAGGCUUCAAUAUAUAUCAGCUAUUAUUGUUAUUGUCUUUUUAAUGGCUUUGAAUCUUUCACACGGAGUUCUGUAAUGUGCACUCUACAGCUUAUUCCUUGGUGUGUUAAAGGCCCAACAACUACAUUUUUUUCCACAUGCCAUUGUCACUUGCAGCUGUGGUUUCAGAGAUGAUGAUUACGUUUGACUGCAACUAACUACUUGGUCCACAUCCCAUGCAUAUUGUUCAAGCAGUGACACAGAGAGGGAGAGAAUAGGAGAGAGAGUGCUGAAGUCAUCCACAAGGACCAUCUAUCUCAAAGUGCUCCCACAGUACCUCUACCCAGUUGACCCCCAUGCUUAUGUUACAUCCCUCCCUCAAAGUGGCACAGUGGUCCAUGCUAUCUCUAGAAAAUUGUUUUAAAUUUUUCUCAAUUUGGAACAAAGUUUACCUUUGGGAAAUCCUUGGGGAUUUUCAUCCAGGCUUUUCAUUCUGUUCUCUAGGACCACAUGGAUCAAGUUCGUUCCAUCUUCUUUAAGACUACCCUUUAAUAUAGAGAGAAACCUAUUGUGGCUGAUUACUCUGGAACACAUUUGUAGAGCUAUGCCUUGUAUAAUGACUGACUUCAAAAUCCCUUUGUGUUGCCUAGUCUCUUUCAUUUGUGGGGGGCUGAGUAUGGACUAGAGAUUCAGUUCGAUCCUUGGAUGGGUUAGUAUCACAGUUCUCUCUUGCAGGCUGGUCUGGGAAGUCCUUCCUUUCUUUCCUUUUACUCAAAUGUGACCUUUUCAAAAAAGGCUCUAUUUAUGUCAAAGAAUGCUAUGGCUCA